UACGGGGGGGGCAAGCGUUGUUCGGAAUUACUGGGCGUAAAGGGCUCGUAGGCGGCCAACUAAGUCAGACGUGAAAUCCCUCGGCUUAACCGGGGAACUGCGUCUGAUACUGGAUGGCUCGAGUUUGGGAGAGGGAUGCGGAAUUCCAGGUGUAGCGGUGAAAUGCGUAGAUAUCUGGAGGAACACCGGUGGCGAAGGCGGCAUCCUGGACCAGCACUGACGCUGAUGAGCGAAAGCCAGGGGAGCAAACGGG
rnacentral:rRNA from 1 species